GAUGGACGCUGGCGGCGUGCCUAAUACAUGCAAGUCGAGCGAACAGACGAGGAGCUUGCUCCUCUGACGUUAGCGGCGGACGGGUGAGUAACACGUGGAUAACCUACCUAUAAGACUGGGAUAACUUCGGGAAACCGGAGCUAAUACCGUAUAACAUGUUGAACCGCAUGGUUCAACAGUGAAAGACGGUCUUGCUGUCACUUAUAGAUGGAUCCGCGCCGCAUUAGCUAGUUGGUAAGGUAACGGCUUACCAAGGCAACGAUGCGUAGCCGACCUGAGAGGGUGAUCGGCCACACUGGAACUGAGACACGGUCCAGACUCCUACGGGAGGCAGCAGUAGGGAAUCUUCCGCAAUGGGCGAAAGCCUGACGGAGCAACGCCGCGUGAGUGAAGAAGGUCUUCGGAUCGUAAAACUCUGUUAUUAGGGAAGAACAAAUGUGUAAGUAACUAUGCACGUCUUGACGGUACCUAAUCAGAAAGCCACGGCUAACUACGUG
rnacentral:rRNA from 1 species